rnacentral:rRNA from 1 species
CUUAACACAUGCAAGUCGAGGGGCAGCAUGGUCUUAGCUUGCUAAGACUGAUGGCGACCGGCGCACGGGUGAGUAACACGUAUCCAACCUGCCGUCUACUCUUGGACAGCCUUCUGAAAGGAAGAUUAAUACAAGAUGGCAUCAUGAGUCCGCAUGUUCACAUGAUUAAAGGUAUUCCGGUAGACGAUGGGGAUGCGUUCCAUUAGAUAGUAGGCGGGGUAACGGCCCACCUAGUCUUCGAUGGAUAGGGGUUCUGAGAGGAAGGUCCCCACAUUGGAACUGAGACACGGUCCAAACUCCUACGGGAGGCAGCAGUGAGGAAUAUUGGUCAAUGGGCGAGAGCCUGAACCAGCCAAGUAGCGUGAAGGAUGACUGCCCUAUGGGUUGUAAACUUCUUUUAUAAAGGAAUAAAGUCGGGUAUGUAUACCCGUUUGCAUGUACUUUAUGAAUAAGGAUCGGCUAACUCCGUGCCAGCAGCCGCGGUAAUACGGAGGAUCCGAGCGUUAUCCGGAUUUAUUGGGUUUAAAGGGAGCGUAGAUGGAUGUUUAAGUCAGUUGUGAAAGUUUGCGGCUCAACCGUAAAAUUGCAGUUGAUACUGGAUAUCUUGAGUGCAGUUGAGGCAGGCGGAAUUCGUGGUGUAGCGGUGAAAUGCUUAG